GCCGGGCACAGUGGCUUGUGCCUGUAAUCCAAGCGCCGGGGAGGCUGAGGCUGGUGGACGGCUUGAGCCCGGGGGUUCUGGGCUGCAGCGAGCUGUGCCGAGCGGGCGUCCGCGCUAAGUUCGGCAUCGAUAUGGUGGUCCUGGGGGAGCCGGGGGCCACCAGGUCGCCUAAGGAGGGGUGAACCGGCCCAGGUCGGAGACGGAGCAGGUCAAAACUCCUGUGCUGAUCAGUAGCGGGAUCGCGCCUGUGAACAGUCCCUGUAGCACAGCCCGGGCGAGAGAGCGGGACCCAGUUUCCU
rnacentral:SRP_RNA from 1 species